rnacentral:rRNA from 1 species
CAAUAGCGUAUAUUAAAGUUGUUGCAGUUAGAACGCUCGUAGUCGGAUUUCGGGGCGGGUCGACCGGUCUGCCGAUGGGUACGCACUGGCCGACGCGUCCUUUUUGCCGGAGACCGUCCCUACUCUUAACUGAGCGGGGUCGGGAGACGGCACUUUUACCUUGAAAAAAUCAGAGUGUUUCAAGCAGGCAGCUCGCUCUUGCAUGGAUUAGCAUGGGAUAAUGAAAUAGGACUUUGGUGCUAUUUUGUUGGUUUCGAACACCGAAGUAAUGAUGAGAAGGGACAGUCAGGGGCACUCGUAUUCCGCCGAGAGAGGUGAAAUUCUCAGACCAGCGGAAGACGAACCACUGCGAAAGCAUUUGCCAGGGAUGUUUUCACUGA